GUGAAUCAUCGAAUCUUUGAACGUACCUUGCGCUCCCUGGUAUUCCGGGGAGCAUGCCUGUUUGAGUGUCAUGAACUCUUCAACCCACCAGUUUCUAGUGAACUGUUGUGGUGUUUGGAUUUUGAGCGUUGCUAGUCUGACUAGCUCGUUCGUAAUACAUUAGCAUCUCUAAUUCGAAUUCGGAUUGACUCAGUGUAAUAGACUAUUCGCUGAGGACACUUUUAUUAGUGGUCCGGACUAGAAAUCCAGUAGAAGCUUCCAAACUAUUGUAGUCAUUUCUAUUUUAGAUCCUUCAGAUCAGGCAGGAUUACCCGUCUGAACUUAAGCAUAUCAAUAAGGCGAGG
rnacentral:rRNA from 1 species